UACGAAGGGGGCUAGCGUUGUUCGGAAUUACUGGGCGUAAAGCGCGCGCAGGCGGUCCUUUAAGUCGGGGGUGAAAGCCCAGAGCUCAACUCUGGAACUGCCUUCGAAACUAGAGGACUUGGGUACGGGAGAGGUGAGUGGAAUUCCGAGUGUAGAGGUGAAAUUCGUAGAUAUUCGGAAGAACACCAGUGGCGAAGGCGGCUCACUGGCCCGUUACCGACGCUCAGGCGCGACAGGCGUGGGGAGCAAACAGG
rnacentral:rRNA from 1 species